UAUAUGUACAUGAUAUAAAUACGAUCGUACAGUGAUAUAUUGGGAAUAACGAAAUACGCAUAUUAAUGCCAAAACCCGAGAGCAUAUGUCAGUAAAUUUGCAUGUGUAUGCACUUAAUAACUGUAUCCAACUUAUCAAGUGAAUAAUAAACGGGUAGAGAAAGUUUCACAAAUAUUCUCAUAAAAUGGCCGGAGUAAUGAUGGAGGGCAAGUUAAGGAUCCACAUCACUUACUGCAAACCUUGAGGGUAUGAUAAGAAAUUCAAAAUCCUGCAAGAGGAUCUUGACCGCAGCUUCCCAUCACAGUUGCAUAUCACGGGGGAAUCGACCGAUGUGAUGCCUUCCUUUGAAGUUCAGAUUUUAGGGGGACCUCUCGUUUUCACCAACAAGGAGGGAGUAUGACUGACGGAUAAUACGCCCAAUAUGGCAACCAUUGUUUCUGAGAUUGGGAAGGCUCUACAGAAUUUGGUUGAAUGAAGGGAGAGAUUUAAAAAUAUUGAAGACAUAUUAACCAUUUGUAUGCUUUUAAUUUCUAUACACAACUUUUACCUAUGACGCACUUUGCUGAAACCGAAAAGAAUCGGGGGCUAAAUGCCGAUUUGCCGGAAGGCUGUGAAACGUUGUCAAUAAAAAUAUACAGAAAAAUUUCAGAA